AUUUUGAAGAAUAAGAAAGCCUUGAUCUUAGUAGGCUAUCGACGGUGAAAGAAGGGAAGAGCAGAGGAAGCGAAUUACAACAUUUUGGUGAGGAUGAAGAGGUAGAUGCCAAGGCUGACGACUUUAUCAACAGGUUUAAGCAACAAUUGA